GUGCAGCAGGCGAGAAACCUCCGCAAUGCACGCAAGUGUGACGGGGGGAUUCCAAGUGUUAUUGCAUUUUGUGUGAUAACUUUUCUUAAAUGUAAAUAGUUUGAGGAAUAAGGGCUGGGUAAGACGGGUGCCAGCCGCCGCGGUAAUACCCGCAGCUCAAGUGGUCUGGAGUUUUAUUGGGUCUAAAGCGUUCGUAGCUGGGUCUAUAAGUUCUCUGUGAAAUCUAACGGCUUAACCGUUAGGCGUGCAGAGGAUACUGUAGACCUCGAGACUGGGAUGGGUCAAGGGUACUCUCGGGGUAGGGGUGAAAUCCAAUAAUCCUGAGGGGACCACCUGUGGCGAAGGCGCUUGGCUAGAACAGGUCUGACAGUGAGGGGACGAAAGCUAGGGGAGCGAACGGGAUUAGAUACCCCGGUAGU
rnacentral:rRNA from 1 species